rnacentral:lncRNA from 10 species
CCCCGGCCCCACCAGAGGGCAUCAGCUAUGCCUAGCAAUUACGCCCCCGUGGCUAAAUUAAACUCCCAUUGGCUAAAUUAGGCUCGAAGAGAGGGGCACCUGCUGCUAAGCUGUGUAUGUUGUCCCCUAGGACUCCCACCGUUUGCUGAGCUCCACAUGACAACAGCAGACGACAGGCCGCACUGAUCCCACCUGGCUUACAGGUGCUGUCACACAGGUCCACCCACAGGGAUGUUUUUCAAUCAGAGUUAUACCAAGUGUCCCUGCCUCUCCUGCCUCCCUUCCCACUUCCUCCAUGUCUUCCUCUCUGCCACCCUGAGGCAGCAAGACCAGCCCCUCCUCCUCAGCCACUCAACAUGAAGACAACGAGGAUGAAGACUUCUAUGAUAAUCCACUUCCACUUAGUAAAUGCUUUCUCUUAUGAUAUUCUUAAUGACAUUUUAUUUUCCCAAGCUUAGUUUAUUGUAAGAAUACAGUAUAAAUACACAUACAAAGUACGUGUUAACU